GCACUUUGGCAAAAGGAAUGCACAAGCAACUUAUACCCUUAAUGGAAGCGAAUUAAGGAUAACAACACACGAGAAGGUCUUGGGAAUUGUUAUAGACAACAAACUAUGCCACAAUGUGCAAUAAGCAGUGGCUAAGGUCAGUAUUGUCAUGCAUCAAAAAGGGCAUUAGUUCUCAGGAUGAUAAUAUUAUUUUGCCUCUUUAUAAAUCACUGGUGUGACGGAACGCUGGCACUCCGACCGAGUACCUCCGCCAAUCGAUGCUCCUAGCGCUUGCCGAGAACUCCAAGCACUCCAACCGACACAAUCAGCACUGCAGACCCCACUUACAGCGAUGCAGCCAUGCUGGGGUCUUGCUGUCUUUCACCCCCCCUGGAUCCAAGGCCAGGAUCCAGCUUCCAGUGGGCAGGCCUCUCUUCUCCCAGAGAGCGUAGCAGGAAC